rnacentral:rRNA from 1 species
GCGGGGUGAAGGGGGGGCUUGGGGUCGAUUAGCAUGCUAGUUGUACGAGUUGAGACUCGUAGCAGAUAGCUCAGUAACACGUGGCCAAACUACCCUAUGGAUCCAGACAACCUCGGGAAACUGAGGCUAAUCUGGAAUAGGGCUCUCAUCCUGGAGUGGAGAGAGCCUGAAAUGCUCCGGCGCCAUAGGAUGUGGCUGCGGCCGAUUAGGUAGACGGUGGGGUAACGGCCCACCGUGCCAGUAAUCGGUACGGGUUGUGAGAGCAAGAGCCCGGAGACGGUAUCUGAGACAAGAUACCGGGCCCUACGGGGCGCAGCAGGCGCGAAACCUUUACACUGCACGCCAGUGCGAUAAGGGGACUCCAAGUGCGAGGGCAUAUAGUCCUCGCUUUUUGCGACCGUAAGGUGGUCGCGGAAUAAGUGCUGGGCAAGACCGGUGCCAGCCGCCGCGGUAAUACCGGCAGCACGAGUGAUGACCGCUGUUAUUGGGCCUAAAGCGUCCGUAGCUGGCCGCGCAAGUCUAUCGGGAAAUCUCUCCGCUUAACGGAGAGGCGUCCGGUGGAAACUGUGUGGCUUGGGACCGGAAGACCAGAGGGGUACGUCUGGGGUAGGAGUGAAAUCCCGUAAUCCUGGACGGACCACCGGUGGCGAAAGCGCCUCUGGAAGACGGAUCCGACGGUGAGGGACGAAAGCUCGGGUCACGAACCGGAUUAGAUACCCGGGUAGUCCGAGCUGUAAACGAUGUCUGCUAGGUGUGACACAGGCUACGAGCCUGUGUUGUGCCGUAGGGAAGCCGUGAAGCAGACCGCCUGGGAAGUACGUCCGCAAGGAUGAAACUUAAAGGAAUUGGCGGGGGAGCACUACAACCGGAGGAGCCUGCGGUUUAAUUGGACUCAACGCCGGACAUCUCACCAGCAUCACAAUGUGCAGUGACGGUCAGUGUGAUGAGCUUACCUGAGCCAUUGAGAGGAGGUGCAUGGCCGCCGUCAGCUCGUACGUGAGCGUCCCUGUUAAGUCAGCAACGAGCGAGACCCGCACUCCUAAUUGCCAGCAAUCCCUUGUGGUGGUUGGGACAUAGGAGGACUGCCAGGCCCAAUCUGAGGAAAGAACGGGCACGGUAGUCCAGUAUUGC